GAACUAUAGAGUUUGAUCCUGGCUCAGAUUGAACGCUGGCGGCAUGCUUUACACAUGCAAGUCGAACGGUAACAGGUCUUCGGAUGCUGACGAGUGGCGAACGGGUGAGUAAUGCAUCGGAACGUGCCCAGUCGUGGGGGAUAACGCAGCGAAAGCUGUGCUAAUACCGCAUACGAUCUAUGGAUGAAAGCGGGGGAUCGCAAGACCUCGCGCGAUUGGAGCGGCCGAUGUCAGAUUAGCUAGUUGGUGGGGUAAAGGCCCACCAAGGCGACGAUCUGUAGCUGGUCUGAGAGGACGACCAGCCACACUGGGACUGAGACACGGCCCAGACUCCUACGGGAGGCAGCAGUGGGGAAUUUUGGACAAUGGGCGCAAGCCUGAUCCAGCAAUGCCGCGUGCAGGAAGAAGGCCUUCGGGUUGUAAACUGCUUUUGUACGGAACG
rnacentral:ncRNA from 1 species